rnacentral:rRNA from 1 species
UUUGGACCCACCUGAAUCCAUUCCGAACUCAGAAGUGAAACGAAAUAGCGUCGAUGGUAGUGUGGGGUUUCCCCAUGUGAGAGUAGAACAUCGCCAGGC